rnacentral:rRNA from 1 species
UACCAGCACCCCGAGUGGUCGGGACGAUUAUUGGGCCUAAAGCAUCCGUAGCCGGUUCUGCAAGUCCCCCGUUAAAUCCAGCUGCUCAACAGAUGGGCCGCGGAGGAUACUCCAGAGCUAGGAGGCAGGAGAGGCAAGCGGUACUCAGUGGGUAGGGGUAAAAUCCGUUGAUCCACUGAAGACCACCAGUGGCGAAGGCGGCUUGCCAGAAUGCGCUCGACGGUGAGGGAUGAAAGCUGGGGGAGCAAACCGG